CCGAACAGUCGCGUAUAAAAUUCGCAAGGAUUUAUAUGAGGAAAGUCCGGGCUCCAUAGAGCAAGGAUGCUGGAUAACGUCCAGUGAGGGAAACCUUAAGGAAAGUGCAACAGAAAAUAACAGCCCUAUUUGGGCAAUGGUGAAAAGGCGAGGUAAGAGCUCACCGCCAACUUGGAGACAAGUUUGGGACAAUGUAAACCCCAUCCGGAGCAACACCUAAAUACAGAAGGAAAAGACGGCUCGUCAUCUUCUAAACUGGUGGCUUGAAAUAUAUAGCAAUAUAUAUUCUAGAUAAAUGACUGUUCAAGACAGAACCCGGCUUAUAGAUAUGCUUU
rnacentral:RNase_P_RNA from 1 species